UGGGGAAUAUUGGACAAUGGGCGCAAGCCUGAUCCAGCCAUGCCGCGUGAGUGACGAAGGUCUUCGGAUUGUAAAGCUCUUUUUGGCGGGGACGAUAAUGACGGUACCCGCAGAAUAAGCCCCGGCUAACUUCGUGCCAGCAGCCGCGGUAAUACGAAGGGGGCUAGCGUUGUUCGGAAUUACUGGGCGUAAAGCGCACGUAGGCGGACUGAUAAGUCAGGGGUGAAAUCCCGGGGCUCAACCUCGGAACUGCCUUUGAUACUGUUAGUCUCGAGUCCGGAAGAGGUGAGUGGAAUUCCUAGUGUAGAGGUGAAAUUCGUAGAUAUUAGGAAGAACACCAGUGGCGAAGGCGGCUCACUGGUCCGGUACUGACGCUGAGGUGCGAAAGCGUGGGGAGCAAACAGGAUUAGAUACCCCAGUAGUCCCUGAGCGGGCUGGCAAGGCGCAU
rnacentral:rRNA from 1 species